CGGGCUUGAACUGCAGGGGACAGGACAAGAGAUUGUCCUUUCUUCGGACUCCUGUGGAGGUGCUGCAUGGUUGUCGUCAGCUCGUGCCGUGAGGUGUCGGCUUAAGUGCCAUAACGAGCGCAACCCUUUUCUGCGUUUGCCAUCAGGUUUUUGCUGGGCACUCCGCAGAUACUGCCAUCGCAAGAUGUGAGGAAGGUGGGGAUGACGUCAAAUCAGCACGGCCCUUACGUCCGGGGCUACACACGUGUUACAAUGGGUGGUACAGAGGGUCGCAAUCAGGCAACUGUGAGCCAAUCCUCAAAUCCAUUCUCAGUUCGGAUUGGAGUCUGCAACCCGACUCCAUGAAGCUGGAUUCGCUAGUAAUCGCGCAUCAGCCAUGGCGCGGUGAAUACGUUCCCGGGCC
rnacentral:rRNA from 1 species